GUCCUGUACAUUUGCACUGGUUUCAGGGAUCUGUGGUCUCUUGUAAGAUCGUAGCCCUGCAACUGCCACAGACAUCUAAUUCCUCGUUGUUUUUUGUUGUUGUUGUUGUUGUUUGUUUGUUUGUUUCCAUGCUUCACGCCUGAGUGUAGAACCUGCAGUAGAUGGACUCCCUGUCUUGCUGAUUUCCCAGAAAAGGUACAAAAUCUUCCCCCAUCUUGCUCUCCUAAAUACACCAUUGUAUGAUCUAAGUGGACAAACCCGUGUUUGAGAUAUUAUGGAAUCUUCCUAUGAGGAGAAGUUCAUGACAGAGACAGGUUGCUAAGUUGAAGUUGCUACUGCUGCAGUGCUGUCAGUGCUCAUUAAGGAUCUCAGUCUCAUGUAAAGAAGGAACCAAAGAGAAGCAGAAAAAUUCUAAAACUGGGUCUUCUGGAAAUAUGCAGUCUCCUAUCAAAGUGGUCCUAUGGAUCAAGAAUGUAGAAAUCAAGAAUAGGUAAACUUCAUCAGCUGCUUAGUCUAUUAUUCUUCAAGAAGAAGAAAUAUGAGUGUUAAGCAGAGAAAUUAAGUAGUUGCACAAAUUAUUGAAGCUUAUGUAAAAUUUUGUGUAUGCAAAAUCCUUGAAAUGUUGCUAGAACAUUGCUUCAUGGGAUGGAAAAGAAUGUUGUAUCUCACAGAAAGCAGUAAUGUCAUCUAGUCUUGGCUGAACUUGGACAGCUGAAAUCAUCUCCACAAAGAGAGAGAUACUACACUUCACUGAAGCACACAUUUGUGUGUAUGAAGCAAUAGGUGGAUGUGCUAAUAACUCGAUUUCAGUAUUGAUGGAAGGAAUAGGAGAAUGGCAGUAAGGAGUGGAGAUUUGCUUCUGAAAGGAAUACUAGAAGGUUGCCAAGGAGUAGAUAGCAUAAAAAUACAUAUCUUUUCCCAGUCUUGGGAUUUCUCUCAUGAAUGCAAUCUCUGGAUAUAAUACUUGCAAAAACUUUUACACAAAUUUACACAGCUGCAUAUCAAUGUUUUUCAAUAUCAAUAUCAACGAUGGGUUUGAUGAAAAACAAACUAGGCUGUAUAGAUUGAAACUUCUGAGUUCAUUCUGCUGUGGUCUGCUGAGAAGAGUGGGCUGCAAUCUUCUGGUGAGCACAAAUAGCUUGAAAAUCAUGACAUUUAGUAAAAUAUUGGGAAGAGCAAUUGAAUACAAAUCAGUUUAUAGAACAUAUUUAAGCAUUAUUUUUGAUAUUUGAGAAUGGAAAUUGCUUUUAAAAAAUGGGUAAAACUUUAUAAGAACAUUGCUUAUAAAAGAUCUACUAAUUUUACUUAAAUGUUAUCAGUAAGAUAUCCAUAAUGUGAAUUUGAGGAAGCAUUUUCAGUUACUUUAGUUACUUACAUUUUCCUUAGAUAACAUGCUAUUGGGAACCUGCAUGGGUACCUUUUUGCAUAAUGGCAUGCUCUGAGAUUAUUGGCUAUGCUUUUUCUCUAGUGCUGAAGUUAAUUUCAUAAAUUUGAACUAAGUACAUUUUGUAUUAGGAAUUAGGAGAAAAGAGUUAAUUACAGAUUAGUUGCAUCUACUGUCUCCUUCUGAAAAUCUAAUUCUGAAAAACCCUUUCAACACAAAAAAAAAAAAAAAAGAAAAAAUAAAAAAGAAAAAGCCUGAAUUAGUCUUUAGAAAGCACAGCAAAAGAAAAAAAUAUAUAUACAUCUUUGAGGCAAAAGAAAUCUUUUUCUUUACUGAAGUCAAAUAAUACUAGCUUGUGAAUAACUAUUAUUUCAUACAAUUUUUUGUCAGGAUUUAAAAAAGGAAAGUGGUGUCAUUAUAAGCAAAACCUGUGAUAAAUAAUUGAAUCUCGCUGAGAUAUUCAUUUUAAUAACAUUUGUUCUGAAUGCCCAUGAAAAGCAUAAUGACUUCCAAUGAGCUAAGUCCUUUAAAACUUUCUUCAGAUCUGUUCUGUAAUUCAAAGAGAAUAAAUCUAGAAUAUUCUGUGAUAUUCAAACCUUGUAUAGUUAACUGUAUUAGAAGUCUGCUUCAAAUCAAAAUUAGUUCGAAGAUGGUUUAUAGAAUGAAAAUGAAUAAUGCUUGUGCUUCUUCAAAUUUGCUUAUAAAACCAAAUAUUCUUUUCAUGUUUUCAAAAUAAUAUUGGUUUAGAAGCAAAUAAUAUACACAUAAUCAUAUUAGGCAAUAUUAUCCUUUCUUUAAAAAAAUAAAAAAGUUCUGCAAUCUCUACUCAAAUAUCACAUAAAAUUACUUAAAAAAAUACUGUUUUUUUUCUAAGAAAAAAUAUUUUUUCAUCUUAUUUGAAA
rnacentral:lncRNA from 1 species